UACCGCAAAGAGGAAAAGAAACAAGAUGACCGACAAAAAGAACUCCAACGGAAGCUGCUGCAGCUGCAGCUGGAGGAACUGAAAAAGAAAAAGACAAGCCAAAGAAAAUAGCACCAGUGAUGGCAGAUUUCAUGUUUGAAGAAAUGCUGCCGCCUAUGCCCCGGAACCAGGGAAAGGGGGGUGGAGAUGGACCCGUGUCCAGCGUCAUCUACAACAUUUUAGGAAUGCCUCCUGCAUUUUUACAGGGGCAGCCCUCAGGGGGUCUAAAUUGGGGACGGCAGCAGGCCCAGGGGGUACGGCCCUACCAGCUGGGACAAGGAGCUAAUAAAGGGAAUCAAGGCAACAAGAACCAGAACCAGAACCAGGGACAAAGAGGGGCAGGCCAGGGAGGGCCACCAGUGUGUUGGGGCUGCAACCAGCCAGGACACACCAGAAGAAACUCCCCAACAAAUCCCUGGGAAGAACAAAAUCAAGGAGGAGCCCCACAACAAGGGAGUGGAGGAGGUCCGAUGAAUUAUCAAGGCACACAAUAGGGGUGCCCAGAGAACCUGAAGGAGGUAGGACUUGUGCUCAGCCUUCUUCAGUGUACCCCUGGACCCCAAGAGUCAGGAAGUAUUUACAUUCCAGUAUGGAGGAAAAGAAGAAGGAGGGAAGAGCACGAGCUAUAGAGCUCCAGUUCAAGAGCACCAGUUGCAGCCAAGAGACCAAGUCUACGUGCGGAAGUUCCAAAGAAAGUGGAAUGAGCCAAGGAGAGAAGGACCCUUCAAGAUCACAAAGACCACACCCACGGCAGUACAGGUGGAAGGAAGCAGUGUUAGGUAUCAUCUGAAUCAUUGCACUAAGGUUGUGCCAGAGGUAAACGAUGGGGGGGGGUCAGAGAAAUUGUAGGAAACACUGAAAGAGAGCAGUCAGGAGAGCGGGAGGAUCCUGGUGAAGGAACCUCAGCUCAAGGUAGAGAGCAGUCAGGAGAGCGAGAGGAUCCUGGUGAAGGAACCUCAGCUCAAGGUAGAGAGCAGUCAGGAGAGCGAGAGGAUCCUGGUGAAGGAACCUCAGCUCAAGGUAGAGAGCAGUCAGGAGAACGAGAGGAUCCUGGUGAAGGAACCUCAGCUCAAGGUAGAGAGCAGUCAGGAGAGCGGGAGGAUCCUGGUGAAGGAACCUCAGCUCAAGGUAGAGAGCAGUCAGGAGAACGAGAGGAUCCUGGUGAAGAAACCCCUGACAGAGGUGCAAGUGGAGCAGAAGGAGGAGAAGCAAUCUCACCAGCACGAUUUGUUACCGAUGUCCAAGACCUCAUCCAUGGUCUUGGCACCAUCAAUUGGGCCAACUAUUGGUAAAGUAAAAGACAGGGAGAAGAUAAAGAGCGAUUUCUACAGUAAUAUUGUGAUAGAAGACUAUGAACAGAGUGAAGAUGAGAAACAGAUCUUAUGGUACAUCGCUAGUAAUAAUCCGUGGUACUGAUGGGCUAAUUAUACCCAAGCCAAAAAUAACCUGGAUAAAGUAAAUAGGAAGGCAGGUUUCUUUAUAUCAUUAAUAAUUUUCUGACUAGUCAAAUAACUAAUCCAGUUAGCCUCCAGCUAGAGUGAGUGAGCAGCAGACAUUUUUGACAGUUGAAAAUGGAUACAUUUCUACAGCAGAAUAGUGGGCGGAGCUUGUGUAACCUAGCAAUCGGCUACCCUGAAGAAGUCAGCAGUGAAACAGGGCAAAAGAAGCACAAAGCUAGGCUACUGAAAGAGACUCCAGAGACGCUCAGAGCAGAGUUUACUGUGCUGAAUGAGAGAGGUGAAAUCAGACCUGCUGUUCUACACAGAGCACCCAGAAGCCUGGCAUUCUGCUCUCCGUGCAGAUGAUAAAAACAUGAAAAUGGGCGGCAAUAAAACAAUGAGGCAAUUGUACCUAGACACCACCCCCAAAUUUAACAUCAAUAUAUAAAACAACGGUACUGUCAUGAUUCAAGGAUCUGAAUUAAAAUGACAGCAGUUUGAGACUAAAACAUGAAGUUGAACAGAAGAAAUCCACUGUGCCCUAUAAAGCCCCAUCUGCUCCCAGUGUGACCGGAUCAGCCUCCCUGACACACACAGUGCCCAGCCCUGCCCAGCCAGCCUGCUCCAGCACACUCACAGCCACUCACAGCCCUGCCACACCCAGAACACCGCUGUCUGUACAGCGCAUCCAGGACUGCCUAUCCCUCCUAGAGGUAGAAUUAAUCUAAAUGAGAGAGAAUAAACUGCCAGAGACAAACAGUAUUCAGAGACACACAACUGAAUUUACCCAAUUCAAAGAGGAAACCCAGACAAAUGGGACAACUAGGAGAGAGCACAACUGAUCCCUGUAAGGAAAAUGAGGCUCUAAGAGCAGAACUGAGGGAUUUAAAGGAGGACCUGGAGCAGAGAGACACGCAGAUCCUCAGUCUCAGAGAUGAGCUGCUCACAGACCACAGACUGCACAUCACAGACUGAGAGCAGCUCAGCCCUCAGAAUCACUGCAGACCACAGACUGCACAUCACAGACUGAGAGCAGCUCAGCCCUCAGAAUCACUACAGACCACAGACUGCACAUCACAGACUGAGAGCAGCUCGGCCCUCAGAAUCACUGCAGACCACAGACUGCACAUCACAGACUGAGAGCAGCUCAGCCCUCAGAAUCACUGCAGACCACAGACUGCACAUCACAGACUGAGAGCAGCUCAGCCCUCAGAAUCACUGCAGACCACAGACUGCACAUCACAGACUGAGAGCAGCUCAGCCCUCAGAAUCACUGCAGACCAUAGACUGCACAUCACAGACUGAGAGCAGCUCAGCCCUCAGAAUCACUGCAGACCACAGACUGCACAUCACAGACUGAGAGCAGUCAGGCAGAGCCACAGGCCAGCCCCAAGCCCAGCACCGCCCCCCCUCAGGACCCCAGCCCUCCAUCAGCAUCACAGCCUGAGAACAGCCGGACAGAGCUACACCCAGCACCUACCCCACCCUGCUCACAGCCUACUGCAGGGAACCAGCCCCCACCACAGCCCCCGAAAACCACCAUACUCAUCGACUCUAAUGGCAAGUUCCUGCAGCACAGACAGAUGUUCCCCACACACAGGGUAGGACAAUUCUGGUGUCCCACUACUGACACAGCACACAAACUCCUUUGUCGUUCCCGACUAGGCGAGCCAGAUAACACACACGGGUAUGACCUGUGUUCUCAGGGAGAGAGGGUUUCACAGACAGUGACAAAGGUGGCCCAAAACGCACGCAGGGAGUUCCCCACAGCCAACAUUACCAUCUCCACUUUCCUGCCUCGAAAGGACGUCCCUUCUGAACUAAUCAAUAACAUAAGCCGAGCCAUCACCACAGACUGCGCUACACUGACGGGAGUUAAAGUCACACAUCACCCCACUCUGACCCCGGAGCACCUAUAUGACCAGGUGCACCUGGACCGGAGCAGCGUCUGGAUGUUUGCAGAGGACCUGACAGGAGCAGCACCCAGCCCUCACGCCAUCAGAGGACCACCACGCCACCACCAGGGAACAGGACGCACUGCCCACCCAUCACAGAGGACGAAUCCACCCAGCAGAGCCCCGCCCAGCACAGCCAACCCAAACCAGAGGAGCCCCCCACUCAGCAGAGCCCCGCCCCACACAGCCUGACCCAGCACACCAUAUAUAUAUAUAUAUAUAUAGCCCUGCGAUGGACUGGCGACCUGUCCAGGGUGUAUUCCUGCCUUUCGCCCAAUGUAUGCUGGGAUAGGCUCCAGCCCCCUGCGACCCUGUUCAGGAUAAGCGGGUUAGGAUAAUGAAUGAAUGAAUGAAUAAAUAUAUAGAGAAAAUAUAAGAGAAAAUAAAAAACAGGUGUGUAUAUGUGUAUGUAUGCAUGUAUGUAUAUGUAUAUAUAUAUGUGUAUAUAUGUAUGUAUGCAUGUAUAUAUGUAUGUGUGUAUGUACAUAUAUGUGUAUACAUAUAUAGCCUAUUUUUUACCACUU